AUUGAACGCUAGCGGGAUGCUUUACACAUGCAAGUCGAACGAGUGUCCGACGUGUUACUAAUAUAUCGGAACGUGCCCACUACCGGGGGCUAACUACUCGAAAGAGUCGCUACUACCCCAUCCUAUUCGCUCUGCCCAUAGCCGAUUAGCUAGUUGGUGGGGUAAAGGCUCACCAAGGCAACGAUCCGUAGCUGGUUUGAGAGGACGACCAGCCACACUGGGACUGCGACACGGCCCAGACUCCUCCGGUAGGCAGCAGUUGGGAAUUUUGGACAAUGGGGGAAACCCUGAUCCAGCCAUCCCGCGUGUAUGAGAAGGCCUUCGGGUUGUAAAGUACUUUUGGCAGAGAAGCGGUAGCAGAAGAAGAAGAAACGGCUAACUACGUGCCAGCAGCCGCGGUAAUUG
rnacentral:rRNA from 1 species